rnacentral:rRNA from 1 species
UACGUAUGGUGCAAGCGUUAUCCGGAUUUACUGGGUGUAAAGGGAGCGCAGGCGGCACGGCAAGCCUGAUGUGAAAGCCCGCGGCCCAACCGCGGGACUGCAUUGGGAACUACCGGGCUGGAGUGCCGGAGAGGUAGGCGGAAUUCCCAGUGUAGCGGUGAAAUGCGUAGAUAUUAGGAGGAACACCAGUGGCGAAGGCGGCCUACUGGACGGUGACUGACGCUGAGGCUCGAAAGCGUGGGGAGCAAACAGG